rnacentral:sRNA from 1 species
GUGCGUGGAUGCACAGUGAAUUCUCAACGCGUAUUAUAUAUAUAGUAAUAUAUAUUGUGUAUGUAU